AUUUUCUUAGUACAUUAAGUACAUUUGACUUCCAAUCAAAAAGACUAUUUAAAUUAGAGAAAAUA
rnacentral:tRNA from 1 species